ACAUCACCUCGUCAGCGUCGGGCGCGCCAGGGUCCACCCUGAGGCCUCGUCCCGCGGCCGGGAGCGGUGGCGAGUGACCGGGGUUCAGACGUUAGUGUGAGGAAACCCGCGGGCAGCUCGUCGGCUCUGUGGCCUCCACAGCAUGAUGGACAUGUAAGAAGUUUCCCUGGAUACAUCUGCACGGCUAAGUGCCCUCUGAAGAGAAAUGCCUGGGGUGGGGUGGCUGCCUCAGAACCUGCUGCCCGGAGCACACCCAGUUGGGGUACAGGGACUCCGAUCCCCCCGUGGGACAGAAGGAAAUGAAUCUGCAGUUCUUGUUUGCUGAAGAAUUAAUUAAUUUACUAGUUUUACACACAUCCAAAGAAAAAUAUUUCAUCUGAAGUAGAAUGGAGCACUUCAAGUAAAAUGAACCCUAUUGGUCUGCCAGGGCUAUACAAACAUAGAGGAAAACAUUGCCACAAGAAGGUAGUCCUCUCUCAUCUCCCAUCCUUACAGAUCUUUGUAAGUUGUUUUUCC